UCGGGAAUUUUGGGCAAUGGGCGAAAGCCUGACCCAGCAACGCCGCGUGAAGGAUGAAGUAUUUCGGUAUGUAAACUUCGUAAGAAUAGGAAGAAUAAAUGACGGUACUAUUUAUAAGGUCCGGCUAACUACGUGCCAGCAGCCGCGGUAAUACGUAGGGACCAAGCGUUGUUCGGAUUUACUGGGCGUAAAGGGCGCGUAGGCGGCAAUUCAAGUCAUCUGUGAAAUCUCCGGGCUUAACUCGGAACGGUCAGAUGAUACUGCUUUGCUAGAGUGCAGAAGGGGCAAUCGGAAUUCUUGGUGUAGCGGUGAAAUGCGUAGAUAUCAAGAGGAACACCUGAGGUGAAGACGGGUUGCUGGGCUGACACUGACGCUGAGGCGCGAAAGCCAGGGGAGCAAACGGGAUUAGAUACCCCCGUAGUCCCUGAGCGGGCUGGCAAGGCGCAU
rnacentral:rRNA from 1 species